rnacentral:rRNA from 1 species
GUGAGAAUAGCUGCAGGGGUACACCUAGUUCCAUUCCGAACCUAGAAGUUAAGCCUGUAAACGCUGAAAGUACUUGGAGGGAAGCCUCCUGGGAGGAUAAGAACUUGCCAAGC